UACGAAGGGGGCUAGCGUUGUUCGGAAUUACUGGGCGUAAAGCGCGCGUAGGCGGCUUUGUAAGUUAGAGGUGAAAGCCCGAAGCUCAACUUCGGAAUUGCCUUUAAGACUGCAUCGCUAGAAUUGUGGAGAGGUAAGUGGAAUUCCGAGUGUAGAGGUGAAAUUCGUAGAUAUUCGGAAGAACACCAGUGGCGAAGGCGACUUACUGGACACAUAUUGACGCUGAGGUGCGAAAGCGUGGGGAGCAAACAGG
rnacentral:rRNA from 1 species